rnacentral:rRNA from 1 species
ACGGGUGAGUAAUACAUCGGAACGUGCCCAGUCGUGGGGGAUAACUACUCGAAAGAGUAGCUAAUACCGCAUACGAUCUGAGGAUGAAAGCGGGGGACCUUCGGGCCUCGCGCGAUUGGAGCGGCCGAUGGCAGAUUAGGUAGUUGGUGGGAUAAAAGCUUACCAAGCCGACGAUCUGUAGCUGGUCUGAGAGGACGACCAGCCACACUGGGACUGAGACACGGCCCAGACUCCUACGGGAGGCAGCAGUGGGGAAUUUUGGACAAUGGGCGAAAGCCUGAUCCAGCAAUGCCGCGUGCAGGAUGAAGGCCUUCGGGUUGUAAACUGCUUUUGUACGGAACGAAAAAGCUCCUUCUAAUACAGGGGGCCCAUGACGGUACCGUAAGAAUAAGCACCGGCUAACUACGUGCCAGCAGCCGCGGUAAUACGUAGGGUGCGAGCGUUAAUCGGAAUUACUGGGCGUAAAGCGUGCGCAGGCGGUUAUGUAAGACAGAUGUGAAAUCCCCGGGCUCAACCUGGGAACUGCAUUUGUGACUGCAUGGCUAGAGUACGGUAGAGGGGGAUGGAAUUCCGCGUGUAGCAGUGAA